rnacentral:rRNA from 1 species
UUACGCUGUUAUCCCUAAGGUAACUUAGUCUAAUAAUCAAUAAUAAUGGAUCUAAUAUUCAUAAAUCAAUGUUAUGUAAAUAAAAAAGUUAAAUAUAUAUUUUUGUCACCCCAACAAAACACAAAAAAAUAUAAAAAUAUUAAUAUAUAAAUAUUUAAAUAAAGUUGUGUAAAGAUCUAUAGGGUCUUCUCGUCUUCCAAUAGAAUUUUAGCUUUUUAACUAAAAAAUUAAAUUUUAAAACAAAUAAAAUGAGACAGUCAGUUCCUCGUUGAACCUUUCAUUCCAGCCCUCUAUUAAAAGACUAAUGAUUAUGCUACCUUUGCACGGUCAGUAUACCGCGGCCGUUGAACUCCUCACUGGGCAGGUCAGACCUUCAAUUAAAUUCAAAAGGACAUGUUUUUGAUAAACAGGCG